AUGGAAAUCACACAGAGAACUCUGUCACUGCUUAGGCUCUGUCUUGACAGCAGAGAAGCUUCUGAGGAUGGUACUACUUACAGAACAAUAAACACAAGGAGGGAAAUACUGCAGGUGACACUGGGACCCGCAGUUGUCACAGCUGGGAGGUCAGCACAGUUAAAUCAAUCACAUUCAAGAUGCCUGCAGAGAAAACAGUAGAGGUGAAAGCUUGUAAAUUCUGAUAAUCACCAACAUUUGAGGUGCAUACAUG
rnacentral:lncRNA from 1 species